AACGUAGGAGGCAAGCGUUAUCCGGAGUUACUGGGCGUAAAGCGUGCGUAGGCGGAUCUGUAAGUGGGUGGUGAAAGCGCCCGGCUAAACCGGGCGAGGUCCAUUCAGACUGCAGGUCUAGAGGCGGAUAGAGGGGUGCGGAAUUCCUGGUGUAGCGGUGAAAUGCGCAGAUAUCAGGAAGAACACCCGUGGCGAAGGCGGUUCUCUGGGACGGUACUGACGCUGAGACGCGAAAGCGUGGGGAGCGAACAGG
rnacentral:rRNA from 1 species